rnacentral:rRNA from 1 species
GAUGAACGCUGGCGGCGUGCCUAAUACAUGCAAGUCGAACGCUGGAGAUCUAGCUUGCUAGAUCGAAGGAGUGGCGAACGGGUGAGUAAUACAUAAGCAACCCACCCACGAAAACCGGGAAAAUCUUUGGAAACGGGGACUAAUACCGGAAGGAUAUCCGGAAGCGAUUUUUUGGUUAUUAAAGGUUAAAAACACUGGCGGAUGGGCUUAGGGCCACUCAGUUGUAUGGUGAGGAAACGGCCAACCAAGACGAUGACGCGUAGCCGGCCUGAGAGGGUGAACGGCCACAUUUGGACUGCGGCACGGCCCAGACUCCUACGGGAGGCAGCGGUAGGUAAUUUUCGGCGAUGGGGGCAACCCUGACCGAGCCACGCCGCGUGAGUGAAGACGGCCUUCGGGUUGUAAAGCUCUGUUGUAAGGGAAGAACGGUAGAUAGAGAAUAUCUAAGUGACGGUACCUUACCAGAAAGCCACGGCUAACUACGUG